AUUGAACGCUGGCGGCAGGCCUAACACAUGCAAGUCGAGCGGUAGAGAGAAGCUUGCUUCUCUUGAGAGCGGCGGACGGGUGAGUAAUGCCUAGGAAUCUGCCUGAUAGUGGGGGAUAACGUCCGGAAACGGACGCUAAUACCGCAUACGUCCUACGGGAGAAAGUGGGGGCUCUUCGGACCUCACGCUAUCAGAUGAGCCUAGGUCGGAUUAGCUAGUUGGUGGGGUAAAGGCUCACCAAGGCGACGAUCCGUAACUGGUCUGAGAGGAUGAUCAGUCACACUGGAACGGAGACACGGUCCAGACUCCUACGGGAGGCAGCAGUGGGGAAUAUUGGACAAUGGGCGAAAGCCUGAUCCAGCCAUGCCGCGUGUGUGAAGAAGGUCUUCGGAUUGUAAAGCACUUUAAGUUGGGAGGAAGGGUCGUUACCUAAUACGUGACGAUUUUGACGUUACCGACAGAAUAAGCACCGGCUAACUCUGUGCCAGCCGCCGCCGUAAUAC
rnacentral:rRNA from 1 species